rnacentral:rRNA from 1 species
UACGUAUGGUGCUAGCGUUGUCCGGAAUCAUUGGGCGUAAAGCGCGUGUAGGCGGUUCGGUAAGUCCGCUGUGAAAGUCGGGGGCUCAACCCUCGGAUGCCGGUGGAUACUGUCGGACUAGAGUACGGAAGAGGCGAGUGGAAUUCCUGGUGUAGCGGUGAAAUGCGCAGAUAUCAGGAAGAACACCAAUGGCGAAGGCAGCUCUCUGGGACGGUACUGACGCUGAGACGCGAAAGCGUGGGGAGCGAACAGG